CCUACGGGAGGCAGCAGUGAGGAAUAUUGGUCAAUGGACGAGAGUCUGAACCAGCCAAGUAGCGUGAAGGAUGACUGCCCUAUGGGUUGUAAACUUCUUUUAUAAAGGAAUAAAACGAGGCACGUGUGCCUUUUUGCAUGUACUUUAUGAAUAAGGAUCGGCUAACUCCGUGCCAGCAGCCGCGGUAAUACGGAGGAUCCGAGCGUUAUCCGGAUUUAUUUGGUUUAGAGGGAGCGUAGAUGGGUUGUUAAGUCAGUUGUGAAAGUUUGCGGCUCAACCGUAAAAUUGCAAUUGAUACUGGCAGUCUUGAGUACAGUUGAGGUAGGCGGAAUUCGUGGUGUAGCGGUGAAAUGCUUAGAUAUCACGAAGAACCCCGAUUGCGAAGGCAGCUUACUAAACUGUGACUGACAUUGAUGCUCGAAAGUGUGGGUAUCAAACAGGAUUAGAUACCCCGGUAGUC
rnacentral:rRNA from 1 species